GCCGCUGUAGGCCAAUGGCAGAGUCAGGCGAUUUAAAAUCGCUACAGUGAGGGUUCGACUCCCUCCAGCGGCACCA
rnacentral:tRNA from 1 species